GACGAACGCUGGCGGCGUGCCUAAUACAUGCAAGUAGGACGCAGUUGCGAACGGGUGAGUAACGCGUAGGUAACUACCUAUUAGAGGGGGAUAACUAUUGGAAACGAUAGCUAAUACCGCCUACUAGUAGAUGGACCUGCGGUGUGUUAGCUAGUAGGUAGGGUAAUGGCCUACCUAGGCAACGAUACAUAGCCGACCUGUGAUGGUGAUCGGCCACACUGGUACUGAGACACUGCCCAGACUCCUACGGUGGGAAGCAGUAGGGAAUCUGCGGCAAUGGGGGGAACCCUGACCAAGCAACGCCGCGGUAGUGAAGAAGGUUUUCGGAUCGUAAAGUUCUGUUGUUAAGGAAGCGGUACUUAACCAGAAAGGGACGGCUAACUACGUGCCAGCAGCCGCGGUAAUUC
rnacentral:rRNA from 1 species